rnacentral:lncRNA from 1 species
AAGAUGUUACUACUUUCUUCUUCGAAAAAGAUCUGCAUCUGGGGAAGAAAAUGACCUUACACUUCCCCAAAACCACAAACAAUGCUAAAUUUUUGCCACGUCUAGUUGCAAGGGCCCAACCCUUUUCAAGCAGCAAGUUACCCGAGAUUCUAAACCGCUUUUCGCUGAAACCUGAAUCAGCAGAAGCAGAGAUAGUGAAGCAAACAAUCGAAGAAUGCGAGGAACCAAGCAUCGAAGGGGAAGACAAGUACUGCGCGACGUCCUUAGAAUCUUUAGUCGAUUUCAGUGUUUCGAAGCUCGGGAAAUAUGCUGAGGUGUUCUCAACAAAAGUGGACGGAGAAAACAAGCAGGAAUAUAGGAUUGCGAGGAGAGUGGAGAAAAUUGGAGAGAGGUCGGUGGUC